AUUGAACGCUGGCGGCAGGCCUAACACAUGCAAGUCGAACGAGCGGCGGACGGGUGAGUAAUGUAUGGGAAACUGCCUGAUGGAGGGGGAUAACUACUGGAAACGGUAGCUAAUACCGCAUACCAUCAGAUGUGCCCAGAUGGGAUUAGCUUGUUGGUGGGGUAACGGCUCACCAAGGCGACGAUCCCUAGCUGGUCUGAGAGGAUUAUCAGCCACACUGGAACUGAGACACGGCCCAGACUCCUACGGGAGGCAGCAGUGGGGAAUAUUGCACAAUGGGCGCAAGCCUGAUACUGCCAUGCCGCGUGUAUGAAGAAGGCCUUCGGGUUGUAAAGUACUUUCAGUCGGGAGGCGUUACCGGCAGAAGAAGCACCGGCUAACUCCGUGCCAGCAGCCGCGGUAAUUC
rnacentral:rRNA from 1 species